CUCAAUCCUGGCUGCAUAUUGGAAUCACCUGCAGAGGCUUUAGAACCUGUUGGAUCCCGCCUCCAGAGAUUCUGACUUGACUUGAUUAGCUGAAGGCCCAGGCACUGGGAGUUUUAUAAAGCUCCCCAGGUGACUGUAUUGUAAGUUGCUAGGGGCUGACGUUUAAAGGCCUAACAUGUGGUGGGGGUUGGGGGGUGGCGGGAGGAAGGUGACGAGAGAAAGCGCUUGCUGUUAAAUGAAUCGGUGAAUCUCUAACUGAUGGAAUAAAGGUAGGGGAAAUAAUUUUGAGUGUAGGAAACAUAUGAUAGGGGUCAAUGAAAGAAGAAACUUCUUUCCAGAACUGCCCAUCUCCGUCCUCCCUCUGCACAGCUGGGCCUGAGCUGCACCCUUAAACCAUCUGUGCUUGGUGGCCUGGAAUCUAGAAAGCGCGGUGCCUACCUGCAAUGGAGGUUUGGUGUUAAGGACGAGAUUUAUAUGAGAGAAGAUAAAGUGGUGACUAAAUACUGCGUCUUCAACUGAUAGAUCCAGGUGAACACACUGGGAUUCAUCACGGAAAGAACUCAACCCAUGGAGAAUGAAGAGGAGCAAGACAGGAAAAUCACCCAUCUGGGAAUGGCAUGGAGCCAGGGGAGGCUCCCCAACCAUGGGGAAAUGGUGCUCACCAUUGGCCAGCCCCACCAAAAGCCAAACUAUAAGGAGGCAUCCAGCCAAACAGCCUCUUCAGUCUUGGAACAGCUUGGAAAAUGAAUCUGGAAGGACAAAUAGGUGAUCUACAGCAUAAUCUCCAUUAUAGUGUACUUUCUCUUCAUCCGGUUGAUUUGGUUUGGAUCUGUGUCCCCACCCAAAUCUCAUGUUGAACUGUAAUCUCCAGUGUUGGAGGUGGGGCCUCGUGGGAGGUGUUUGGAUCAUGAAGGCAGAUUCCUUAUGAAUGAUUUGGGCCAUCCCUUUGGUGAUGAGUGAGCUCUUGCUCUGAGUUGACAGGAGAUCUGGUCAUUCAAAAGUGUGUGACAUGCUCCCUGCCUCCACCUGCUCUUGCUCAUGCUUUUGCCAUGUGACUUGCCUGCCCCUUGUUCGCCUUCUGCCAUGAUUGUAAGCUUCCAGAAGCCUCCCUGGAAGCUGAGUAGUUGCCAGCACCAUGCUUCCUGUAAAGUCUGAAGAACUGUGAAUGAAUUAAACUUCUUUUCUUUAUAAAUUACUUUAUAAAUGGUAAAGGUAUUUCUUUACAGUAAUGCAAGAAUGCCCUAAUACACAGGUCCGAGAUCAAAGGAUAAAAAAUUA
rnacentral:lncRNA from 1 species